rnacentral:rRNA from 1 species
UACGUAGGUGGCAAGCGUUGUCCGGAUUUACUGGGCGUAAAGAGCGCGCAGGCGGUCAAGUAAGUCGAAUGUGAAAGCCCCCCGGCUCAACUGGGGAGGGUCAUUCGAUACUGUCCGACUCGAAGGCAGGAGAGGGAAGCGGAAUUCCCGGUGUAGUGGUGAAAUGCGUAGAUAUCGGGAGGAACACCAGUGGCGAAGGCGGCUUUCUGGCCUGUUCUUGACGC